rnacentral:rRNA from 1 species
UAAAAAUAGGUCUCAGUUCAGAUUGCAGGCUGCAACCCGCCUGCAUGAAGUCGGAAUUGCUAGUAAUCGCGGAUCAGCAUGCCGCGGUGAAUACGUUCCCGGGCCUUGUACACACCGCCCGUCACACCAUGGGAGCCGGUAAUACCCGAAGUCAGUAGUCCAACCUCGUGAGGACGCUGCCGAAGGUAGGAUUGGCGACUGGGGUGAAGUCGUAACAAGGUAUC